AACAAGGCGUACCUGCGGACCUGCGGAGGGAUCAUUAACGAGUGUAACCUAUCCUUUUAAAAAAUGGUGGUACCUCCCGUCCUUUGCGGGCCCCCUUCUAUUAUUAAGGGGGGCUUUUAAGACUUUCUGCUUCGGCGGGGUUAUUCCCGCCGGAACACCCUCAAAAAACUCUUGAUCAAAAAACAGUUCAGUCCGAGAAUUUUUGAAAAUUAAAAUAAAACUUUCAACAACGGAUCUCAG
rnacentral:misc_RNA from 1 species